AUUCAUUUAGUUUAUAGAAAACAUUUUAUUUUCAUUAAAAAAAAGAAUAACAAAUCAAUGAACU
rnacentral:tRNA from 1 species